GCUUAACAUCUGGGAGACCUUCUGUUGAAGUAACUGCUACACCCAGCUGCUGAAAGGAUGAGCUCCUUCAACUCCCUUUGCUACUCACUGUGGCAGCAUCUGGGACAUAUUUGUGGUAACACGAGAUCCCCAGUCUCCUCCCUGUACGUAGUAUUCCUUGAAGCCCAGUCUCUUCAUCAGCUUGUGAAAUAUCCGAGCAGUUGCAAGGGUGUCAAAGCCUGCAUGUAAAGAGAAGCACCACACGUUUGUCCUGGCAUGUCCUGGCCAGAGAUCACGGCCCAAACGUGCUGCUAUGAAGCAACAGUGUACUGUACUGCUCCUCCUUACUCUUUGACAAUAGAG
rnacentral:lncRNA from 1 species